CACUUGGUUACAUGGCACCUGAUACUUUAUUACAUUCUAGUGGCGACGGGUGAGUAACACGUUGGAACCUGCCCCAAAGUGAGGAAUAAGCCACCGAAAGGUGGUCUAAUACUUCAUAAUAUCCAUCUCGUAUGGAUUAAAGCUUUAUGCGCUUUGGGAGGGGCCUGCGUAACAUUAGCUUGUUGGUGAGGUAAAAGCUCACCAAGGCUUCGAUGUUUAACUGGUUUUGAGAGGAUGACCAGUCACACUGGGACUGAAAUACGGCCCAGACUCCUACGGGAGGCAGCAGUAAGGAAUCUUCCACAAUGGGGCAACCCUGAUGGAGCAAUACCGCGUGCAGGAUGAAGCGUUUCGGCGUGUAAACUGCUUUUAUCACCGAAGAUUAUGACUGUAGGUGAAGAAUAAGGACCGGCUAACUACGUG
rnacentral:rRNA from 1 species